CGGAGGGUGCAAGCGUUAUCCGGAUUCACUGGGUUUAAAGGGUGCGUAGGCGGGCAGGUAAGUCCGUGGUGAAAUCUCUGAGCUUAACUCAGAAACUGCCAUGGAUACUAUUUGUCUUGAAUAUUGUGGAGGUAAGCGGAAUAUGUCAUGUAGCGGUGAAAUGCUUAGAUAUGACAUAGAACACCAAUUGCGAAGGCAGCUUACUACACAGUUAUUGACGCUGAGGCACGGAAGCGUGGGGAUCAAACAGGAUUAGAUACCCUGGUAGUCCACGCCCUAAACGAUGAUUACUCGACAUCAGCGAUACACUGUUGGUGUCUGAGCGAAAGCAUUAAGUAAUCCACCUGGGAAGUACGAUCGCAAGAUUG
rnacentral:rRNA from 1 species